AUUGAACGCUGGCGGCAGGCCUAACACAUGCAAGUCGAACGAGUGGCGGACGGGUGAGAAAUGUGUGGGAAACCGCCUGAUGGGGGGGGAUAAAUACUGGAAACGGUCUCUAAUACCGCAUACCCUCGGAUGUGCACAGAUGGGAUUGGCUAGUAGGUGGGGUAAAGGCUCACCUAGGCCACGAUCCCUAGCUGGUUUGAGAGGAUGACCAGCCACACUGGAACUGAGACACGGCCCAGACUCCGACGGGAGGCAGCAGUGGGGAAUAUUGCACAAUGGGCGCAAGCCUGAUCCAGCCAUGCCGCGUGUAUGAAGAAGGCCUUCGGGUUGUAAAGUACUUUUAGCGGGGAAGCGUUAUCCGCAGAAUAAGCACCGGCUAACUCCGUGCCAGCAGCCGCGGUAAUUC
rnacentral:rRNA from 1 species